rnacentral:rRNA from 1 species
GACAGAGGUCCCGAGCGUUAGGCGGAAUCACUGGGCUUAAAGCGUGUGUAGGCGGAUGCCUAAGUACCUUGUGAAAUCCCACGGCUCACCCGUGGAACUGCUCGGUAUACUGGGUGUCUUGAGCCACUUAGGGGCUACCGGAACAAAUGGUGGAGCGGUGAAAUGCGUAGAUAUCAUUUGGAACGCCAAUGGUGAAAACAGGUAGCUGGGAGUGUGCUGACGCUGAGGCGCGAAAGCGUGGGGAGCAAACAGG